UGGAGUAUUUCCUCGCCGGCAUUUAAGGCAGACCACAUCCAUGCCAAUGAUUGAACGCUUGGGUCGACAGGGGUAGUGAAACACCGGUCAUUUCCACAUGUACGCGCUCAAAGCUUAUAAUCUUAGAUGCUGGAGCAGAAGAUUAAAAAGGAAUCCCGCUAAAGCAAAUUUUCUGUUAGGAUGAAAUGAUCACCUACUAGACAAAAUUGAUUUCAUGGAAUGAUUUUCUGGAUUGCAUKAUGCUUCUGCCCUGAUGCUUAGCUUCUGUUGCCAUUCAAGUCAAGAGUCAUCAUUUAUAAUAUAUCAAUUCUGAAACAAGGGACUUACAAGUA